AUGGCACUGCAGCUCACCCGGGAGCAGGGGAUCACCCUCUACGGGAGCGCCGAAAUUGUGGCCUGAGUUCUUCUCAUUUGGCAUUCACAGCAUUUUAUAUCAAAGUGGCAUAUAUCCAUCUGAAACCUUUACUCGAGUGCAAAAGUACGGGCUCACUUUACUUGUGACUACUGAUUCUGAGCUCAUCAAAUACCUAAGUAAUGUGGUGGAACAGCUAAAAGAUUGGUUAUACAAAUGUGCAGUUCAGACACUGGUAGUAGUCAUCUCAAAUAUUGAAAAGUGGUGAGGUCCUUGAAAGAUGGCAGUUUGAUAUUGAGUGUGACAAGACUGCAAAAGAUGACAGUACACCCAGGGAAAAGUCUCAGAAAGCUAUUCAAGAUGAAAUCCGUUCAGUGAUCAAACAGAUCACUGCCACAGUAACAUUUCUACCACUGUUGGAGGUGUCUUGUUCAUUUGAUCUCCUGACUUAUACAGAUAAAGAUUUGGUUGUGCCAGAAAAAUGGGAAGAAUUGGGACCUCAGUUCAUUACCAAUUCUGAGGAAGUCCGUCUUCGUUCAUUCACUAUUACAAUCCACAAAGUAAAUAGCAUGGUGGCCUACAAAAUUCCCGUCAAUGACUGACAGAUAAGAUGAGAAAAAUAAUGUGAGUUGCAAGUCUCAAAUGUGUUUUCCUGAAACUAAGUCAACUAUAAGUUGAUAUGUUUUAUUUCAUUGGUUAAUUUUUAAGAUGGGGGAAACAACAUUAUACUUUACUAAACUGUAUAAUUCUUUUUUUGUACCUGUUUGGCAUUCCAUGAGUUAACUUCA